UUUAUAGAUGGAUGCGAUGAGCCGGAGAUCUUAUUGGGCGCCUACCUAUUUUAUAGGGAGAUCUCUGGGGAGCUAAUAGCGAAACCGGCCAUAAAUCCG
rfam:Chloroflexi bacterium RBG_13_50_21 RBG_13_scaffold_2125, whole genome shotgun sequence.